CACGCGCAUUCUAAAUGCAUAAUCAAAUCAAAAAUGUAAAAUAGAAGUAUUUUUGCACCACACUUAAUUCUCAUCGAAAAUCAAAAUUAUUAGUCUAUUACACACACAUAUUAAAAAUUUUUAUUACAAUAGUUUUCAAAAUUACAAUUCAAGUUUUAAUUCUAGAUUCUUUACAUCGAAUUCAUCGAAACACGUCAACCAACCCACAUAUGUUUAGAAAAUUGAAUCAACAUCAAAUUUUAAGUAAUGGACACAACAACAGCAAUCAAAAAUGGAAUUAAAUCUGAUACAAUUACCACAGUUCAUCACUCACCACAACAUAACACGAUAACAAUCACAGAAAAACUCCAUUCCACAUCAUUAAUCGCAGAAUUAUCACCAGAAAAACCGUCACCCAUUCUUAAUUGUAUAGAUGUUCAAAAUAUGGAUGAGAUUCAGUGUAGUAAUGAUGAAUUUGAAGAAAAUCAACGUGAAGGUGAUGAAGAAACGAUCGGUUCAUCAGUUGAGAAUCAUGUAAAACCAUUAGAAAUAGUGCGGCCACCACCCCCGUUGGCUGAACAUUGGAUCAAUGGUGAAUUAGGAUCACGUAAUGCAUUGUUAAUAUUUCGUAGUUGUGCUUUAGCUGCUAAAUCAUUAAGUGAUCAUCCAAGUGCUGGUGAUACCGUUAAUAAAAAAAUGCCUGCAGCCAAGCUGCAUUGUACUUACAAAAUACAAAACUCUGAAACGAAAUUAAUUACACGGUUAUUAGAUGCACAUGGAUUAACCGAGGUGCCUAUAAAUGCUAGUGAUUAUAAUUUAUUGUGGACUGGAUGUCAUAUCAAACCUGAUGUUUUAAGAAAUAUGCUAGUUUUCCAAAGAGUUAAUCAUUUUCCUAGGGCUUAUGAAUUAACAAGAAAAGAUAGAUUAUAUAAGAAUAUAGAAAAAAUGCAAAGAUCAAAAGGUUAUAAACAAUUUGAUUUUAUACCACAAACAUUUGUUAUGCCUACAGAAUACAAAGAAUUAUGUAGUGCACAUUAUCGAUCACGUGGUCCUUGGAUUAUUAAACCAGUGGCGUCUAGUCGUGGACGUGGUAUUCAUAUUGUUAGUUCACCUGAUCAGGUGCCACUAGAUGAACCUGUAGUAGUUGCUAAAUAUAUUGUAAAUCCAUUAUUAAUUGGUGGACAUAAAUGUGAUCUUCGUCUGUAUGUGGUUGUAACAAGUUUUGAUCCUCUAGUCAUAUAUUUAUAUGAAGAGGGUCUUGUUCGUUUUGCUACCGUACCUUAUGAUUCGAAUCCACGUCAAUUAUGGAAUCCAUGUAUGCAUUUAUGCAACUACAGUAUUAAUAAAUAUCACUGUGAUUAUGUUAAAUCAGAUGAUCCAUCUGCAGAAGAUGUAGGCCAUAAGUGGACAUUAAGUGCAUUAUUAAGACAUUUAAGAAGUGAAGGACAAGAUACAGCGAAAUUAAUGGAAAAUAUUGAAGAUCUUGUUAUAAAAUCGUUGUUAGCGUGUUCAGAAUCAAUUGUCACCGCUUGUAGAAUGUUUGUACAACAUCCAAGUAAUUGUUUUGAAUUAUAUGGAUUUGAUAUACUUAUCGAUAGUAAUUUAAAACCAUGGUUAUUAGAAGUGAACUUAUCACCAUCGUUAGGUUGUGACACACCAUUAGAUGUUCGAUUGAAGUCAGCCAUGUUAGCUGAUUUACUAACAUUAAUUGGUAUACCAGCAGUUGAUCCAAUUGUACGUACAUCACCAACUCCUUCAACACGUAUCAACACCACUAGUUCAUCUACUACAACUAUUUCAACUACUUACAGCAAUAAUAACAAUAAUAAUAAUAAUAUUAAUUUUAAUAAUAGUAAUAAUGCAACACGUGCAUCCACAAUCACAUUACGUUCUAAAUUUGGAUCAUCGUGUCGACGAGUACAUUCAGCUGAUGCAGUUAACUCACGAAAUCAUACGUUAGGAUUAAGUCCAGAUGAAAAUCGUAUAUUACGCUUAAUACGAAGCCAAUACGAACGUCGUGGUGGUUUUGUACGAAUAUUUCCAACAUCGGAUACAUGGAAUAAAUAUUCAUUGUAUUUAGAUCCAGUAUCAGGAGUUCCAGUCGUAGGUGAUCGUUUAGGAAGCACAAUAUGUUAUCAAUUAGGAAGCCAUCAUAAUUAUAAUUCAAUGUUGAAUGUACACUUGUUUAAACGAGCUACGCAAGGUGGUGCAGAUCGUUUGGAUCGUUAUGAACGUAUGUUAACACGUGGACAUAAGGAACGUGUUACCGAUGAAACAUCGUCCAAUCAGUUACGUUCAGAUGAUAAAUCUCCAACAAAGAUAGCAGCAUCGUAUUCGAUGACAACCACUGACAGCGCACAGGAAAAACAAAUUAUUAAUAAAGUGAAACGAUUCUUAGAAACAGGAUAUAAAUUAAAUCAAAUCGAAGCACGUAAAGCAUUUAGUAAUUAUUUACAAUUCGUACUUAAACGUUUGAGCGCACGUAGCUCAACAUUUGAUAAAGGAUUACAAACCGAUUUAAUUUUAAGAUUUUUACAACGUGCAUCCUCACAACUCCGUACUCCAUAUGUGAUAAAGUUACCAAAUCAAAAACUUCCCGAUAAAGAUAAAAAUGCGAUUGUUGCAAGACAUUUAAGUGAUUUUUUACAAUUUUAUAAUCGUGAAACAGAUUUAUUCGCACAUUCCACCGAUCGUCCAAAUCAUAUUCCAAAUAAAAUAUUUGAAGAAUUUCUUGGUGUUGCACGUGAGAAUGAUUUAGAAGAAGCAUUACUUUUACACAUGCAACAAUAUACAAAUAAUCCAACACGUCCAAACGUAUUAUGUGGAAGUUUACAAUUGUUAAUGCGAUGUUUACCGAACAUGAAUCUACGAACUAAACAGGCAGCUGAGAAUGAACAGAAGAAACCAAAGAAAUUUACACCUAGUCUGAGUCGAGCAUAACACUGUACACCCUACUAUUUCAUAUCAAUAACAAGUGAAUAAUGAAAGGAUUUGUUCAAAACAGAAGCCCACCCACAUCAAUUCAAAUACGGUGAAAUGGUUUCGUACAGGUCCUGAAUUCAAUUUUUGAUCUAUUAAGAGAUGACUCACUCAAAAAUCAUCCUUCAGAAAAAUGAAAUCUUGAAUAUUGUGGCAUCGAAAAGGUUAGAUUUUCUGAUUUGCCCAAUUAAAAUCGGACAAAAAUGAAGCUAAAAUUUUACUGUUCGAAGACAAAACAAUUUUUUAAUCGAUAUUUUUAAAAAAUAAUUCAUUUUCUAGUGUGAAUGGCAGCUCUUUUUGCUCUUUUGCUCUUGAUUGUGUGUAAUUUGUAUAAUUGACUGCAAAUAAAAAGAAAUACAGGAAUUAAUAUUUCCCCCCACAACUGUGAUCACAAAAAAAAAAAUGAUAAACACAUCCACAUUUUACAUGAAAUUAAGUAAAGUAUGUAGAAGUUAUUUAAUGAAGCUACAAAUUAAAAAAUAGAAAAACGAAUAUAAAAUUUUUGAAAUUGCCUUGCAAAAAUAAGAAAACAUAAAAUAAAAAAUAAAAACCGUUCCAUUUAUUAUUAAAAAAAAAAAAAAAAAAAAAAAAAUGUUUCCCUAGAAUUUCUAGGAAGUAGAAUUGUCUUCAUAUUCCAUUCAAUCAAAUCAAAAUGUAAAACUUUUGAAAAAUGUGAUAUUAGCUGGCCUAAGUAAAUUUUUUACCGUAGCGUUAUUUUUUAUUUUUGUUUGUUUUUCGUUAUAUUUUAAAUUAUUUUUCGUAACAAAUUUUGAUCAAUUUUGAUUUAAACUAAAUGAACUUGCAACUGUUAUCCGUUCUGUGGUCUUAAAAUGACAACUAGUAAAGUCCAAAAGGAUCAAGAAUUACAAACUUAAAUGCCUGCAAAUAUUGUGUAUAUUCGAUAAUUUGUUAGGCUCGACCCAGCCUUAAUAAUCGCGUAAAUACUCAAAAUAUAUUUAAAGGCGAAAUUUAUUAAAAUCGGUAUAAGUAUUUUAACGUCAUAGAGGCAGUAAAUUUAAAUGGCUAAGUGAGAAUAGCCUGAUUGAUUUGUCCACUGGUUAGUUUCUCUGGUUGUUUUUUUCCACUGGGUACCAAGUGUGCUCCCUGGAAAACUAUAAAAUUUCUGGGAUGAAUUAAAUGCACGUUUCCAAUGUAAGAUAUUUGUGCAUUAGUUUUGCCAUUCAUUUUUAUUACGUGCUAACAGGGCCCCAAAUUCUUGUCUCGCGAACAAUAAUGGCCCUGUGCCUCCGUAAAAUCCACCCUGCUUUCAAAAUU